UUCAUUUUCAGAGCCUUCUUGCUCUUUCUCCUCGAUUUCUUGGUUAGCCACCACCUCACCAGGGUUUUAGGUCUCCCCUCCUCUCGUGUUUCUUUGCUCUCUUAUAAACGUUAAUAAAACCUCACCACCACCACCACCACCGCCGCCAUGUAUUGCACUGGUGAACCAGUUGCUGCUAAAUUAAACCUGGGUCACCAGGCCCUCAUCCCCUCAGUCCCUCACCGCCGUCCGCUCUUCUCAAGACCCAUCUCUUCUCUCUCCUUCAUAGCCCCACCUCCAUCUCAAACCGCAUCUUUCAAAUUCACCCCCAUCACAGCUUCCUCCUCGUCCUCAUCUGAAUUCCCUUCUUCAAACUCCUCUGACAAUGAAAACCCUAAGCCCCGUCUCUUUAACAAACCCCUAAACCCCCUGCAAAACCUUAACCCUUAUUUUUCCCAAACCCUCGCCACAUUCCCGUCCACUUUCAUCAAAACCACCCUCAUUGCAGCCACAGCGGCUGCUGCGAUCUUCUUUUCGAGGUUCCAUUUCUUUAAUGUCAAACCAGCCUUCGCCUCCUCUGCUGGGGCAGCUGCCGCUGCUGUUGAAGCUGCCUCAAAGGACACCCUUGAUGAGGCAGAAAGGGAAAAAGCCAUUGAAGAGCACUUGCUUUCCCACUCGAAUGACGUCGAAGCCCUCCGAAAUUUAAUGGAAAUUCGAAUUAAAAACCGGAAAAUGCUAGAGGCCAUUAUGAUUGUGGAGAAAUUGAUAGAACUGGAGCCGAAUGAAGUGGAGUGGCCGUUGAUGAAGUCUCAUUUGCACGUUUACAGUGGUGAGCUUGAAUUUGCAAAAAAUGGGUUCAGCGGGAUCAUAUCAAAAGACCCUUUUCGAGUGGAGGCGUACCACGGCCUUGUAAUGGCUGCAUCCCAGGAUGAUUCGACGGAGGAAUUGAAGGAUAUUGAGAGGAAGAUUGAGGAUGCAAUGAAGCUGUGUAAGAAAGAAAAUAAGAAGAGUGAUUUGAGAGAUUUUAACCUUUUACUGGCCCAAAUUCGGGUGAUCGAAGGGAAGUAUGACGAUGCACUGAAAUUUUAUCAGGAAUUAGUUAGGGAGGAGCCAAGGGAUUUUAGGCCGUAUUUAUGUCAAGGGAUAAUAUACACUCUGUUGAGGAAGAAGGAUGAGGCCGAGAAGAGUUUUGAGAAGUAUCGUAGGUUGGUACCAAAGGGGCAUCCUUAUGCGAGGUAUUUCGAGGACAAUAUGAUUGCAACAAAGGUUUUUGCGCAAAAGGUGGAGAAUGACAAGGUUCGCUCAAGGAGUUGAGGAUGUUUGUCAGGUGUCAAGAACGGCUUUCGAUUUUCUGGUGGGGAGUUGCGAUACACUAAGGCUGUUAUGUGGAGUUGUACUUACUGUGGUUAAAUGGAGGUGACAUAGGGUGGGGAGAUUUUGUGGUAGUGGCAAUGAAAGUAGUGGCCGUGGGCUCUCUAAUUAUUUGGAAUGGUAUUCUCGACGACUGCUUUAGUCAAUGAAGAAAGAAUACAGAAAGCAUCCUGUUUUAUGUUUUUGGAGCGCUCUUCAUGGUGCUGUAUUUAUGCAAUAAGAUACCCAUAAGUCUGCAUCUCGUGUAAACCUGAACUCUGUGGUUGGUUAGAAAUAUGCUUCAGCAAAAUCCUAAUCAACGUAGGAAUGUAGUCUUGACAAGCAUUCCUGUCAAAAGAUUGAAAUGUUUAAUUCUUCAAGUCCUGAAGUUUAUUGUCUGUCACUUACAUCGAGCCUAUCUUUAAUGUUAGUGGCCUAGCAGUAUGAAGUAUGCUUUGUGAAACUCUGCCGGUUAUAGUAUCACUUCUGCUGCCAACGAUCUUUGCGCCGUGGCAAAAUGCAUGCCGUCCUAUGGAGUUUUGGGGCCAGAUUUCUGAGUGAAGUCAUGACAUUUCGUGUUAGGAUUCUUAUGGUUUUUUGUUUUGGUAGGCUAGAAGGGAAGUAUUAGCUAAUUGUUGGUACUUUAGAUUUGAACCUGAUGGUUAUCAGUGGUUUUGCUUUGCUUUAAUGUUCACUUAGAAGUAAAAAGCAGUAUUGACUGGACAACUUAAUCCAGUUUUCAAUUUUGUCUUGCUUUUCUCACUGAUACAAUCAAACCGAAUGAGGUUUAAGUAUUGAUGAUCGGUCUAAUACCCCUACAUAUGCUGUUUCUUGCUGCACCAACCAAAGAUUUCUCAGCCCUGUUCUAGGAUGUAAUGUACUUCAAGCUUGUAAUCCCAAGGAUUAUGUAUUCUGAUG